UGCAAACAUCAAUAGUUCUCUGCUGCAGGUCUAGAAGGAAAGAGCCUUAAGAAAAGGUUAAAAAUGAUCAGACGCAAACCACAUCAAGAACCUGGAAGGUCUCUAUCAUAACAAUUUAGGCCUUGGUUCUUACCAACAACUGUGCAGACUCGGGAAAGCCCCCAUGGAGAACAUCAAUUUUAUAGCACUAAGAAGGAAGCAAGUCCCCAGCUAUAAGCAGAUCAAAAAGGGGAGGAAUUUCCUCAACCCAUACAAACUCCUCAACAUCGAGAUCUAGAGCUUUACUGGCAAGAGAAUGAGCAACACUAUUAACCUCCCUAAGACAUGAGAGCAACUAAAAGAGAUAAAAGCAAUCGGCUACACUUCGAAGAUGAAGAAUUCCAUUUCCCAACUCAGAUAGAGGCGCAUCCCGCUGCUGAAGAAGAACCGAACCAUGGAUCUACAAUCAAACUCCAACAUUACUUCUAGUAAACAAAGAUCAGCCACCUGUGUUAGAGCAAAGUAGCAGCUUAAAUUCUGCUUCUCAAUCGUCUAAGAUAGACAUAGACAUUUGACUGUACCAUUGGAAUCUCUAAUAACCAUACCCAAACCACAUGACCCAUCCUUUCCAAUAGCAGCAUCCGAAUUAAUCUUCAACAACCCAUUCCUUGGACGGGACCAUCUUUGUCGAGUGCGUUCCGAUUUCUGCACCCUUAGCUUGGAGCUAGCACUGACAUCUCAUGAUUUCCUGAAAAAUCAAUAGAUUUCAAGCUCUCCAAAUAAACCAGAGAACCACAAAAAAAUAAGUUGAGCAGAUUCGAAAGAAAAGAGCAAACUUUUUUAAUCCAGUUCAUAACAACUCCAUUGCUAUCAAUCAUCAGCUUUAACGGGCUAAGACGCCAUACUCGAGUUGAAAAUGGACAAUCUCUCAGAGCAUGGUCAAUGAAUAUCCAGGAAUCCAACGCCUCCCAAUUUCUUGGACAAAAAAAGCCGCUGCCGCUAAGUCCAAUGAAUCUUCCUCUCCUCCUUUUUCUGCCCUCACUAGAAUCGAGCAAUCAAGGAACUAAUAUGAUUACAUACCUCCAUCGGCAACAUAAAAAACUCAUGAUAUGAGUUGGGAUAGACUGAACCAUUGCCGUCGACAAAACAUCUUUACCUGCCAUUGAGAGAGUUUUAUCUUUCUACCUCUACAGCUUUUCUGCAACACGAUCAAAU
rnacentral:misc_RNA from 1 species